AAUGAACGCUGGCGGCAUGCCUAACACAUGCAAGUCGAACGAGACCUUCGGGUCUAGUGGCGCACGGGUGCGUAACGCGUGGGAAGUCUGCCCUUGGGUUCGGGAAUAACAGUUAGAAAUGACUGCUAAUACCGAAUGAUGUCGUAAGACCAAAGAUUUAUCGCCCAGGGAUGAGCCCGCGUAAGAUUAGGUAGUUGGUGUGGUAAAGGCGCACCAAGCCGACGAUCUUUAGCUGGUCUGAGAGGAUGAUCAGCCACACUGGGACUGAGACACGGCCCAGACUCCUACGGGAGGGGCAGCAGUGGGGAAGUAUUGGACAAUGGGCGAAAGCCUGAUCCAGCAAUGCCGCGUGAGUGAUGAAGGCCUUAGGGUUGUAAAGCUCUUUUACCCGGGGAUGAUAAUGACAGUACCGGGAGAAUAAGCUCCGGCUAACUCCGUGCCAGCCGCCGCAGUAAG
rnacentral:rRNA from 1 species